CCACAACUACAACCGCACGCAACAAGUCUUCAAAGCUUUGAAUAGCUACUUGUAUGGCGAGUCUAAGAUAUUAA
rfam:Lactobacillus oligofermentans DSM 15707 = LMG 22743 strain DSM 15707 NODE_92, whole genome shotgun sequence.